GGCUGAUAAUAGCUCGAUCUGCCACUCUCCCAGGUGUUGACAUUUGCAUUUUAAUGGAGGCGGUUAAUGCCUUCAGCUAAGGGAGUGACUAAUCUGUUCUUUCACUUGCUCCUGGAGGUAGGUGGGAGACCCUUUAUGGCCCAGGGCCUUUUAGUGCCCUCUAGUCGCAACACAAGAUCACGCCUGAGCUGUAGCUGCCAAACCUUUGGACUCUAAUGCCCACACUCCAUGCUUUAUCUUUGUACUGUUCUUGAUUUUGCUUUUUUUUCUUACACUUUCUCCUGAAUCCUUUUUUUUCCUAAAGGUCUGAGAACAUCCCCAUGAGUCAUUUAUUCUUUCAACACACAUAAACUGAUUAUCCAUCUCAAGCAGAAAACCGUGCUGGACACAGUUGAGUGAGGGGAGCCCAAGAGCUGCUCAGCCAAAAUGGCUCCCUUUCUCCUCCCAAACCGGUGGGCUUUGUUGAAAGCACAUCCAGCCCAGAAGACAGCCAGAGCAAUGCUGGUUGGCAGACACUCUGCUCUGGCAAAUGUAAUUAAAGGCAACAGCAAUUGCCCCACCUGAUGAGAAGACAGUCUUUUCACUCAACAUUGAGAAGGAUCAAGGAGAAGAGUACUAAGCUUGGAGUCAGAAUACCCAGAGGUUCUACACCAGCUCUCCCACUUUCUAGCUGUGGGAUGUCCAACAAGUCCCUUCACCUCUCUGAACUGCAGUCCCCAGCAAGGAUAACAAUGCUGUCCUACAGCGGCCCUUGAUGACUUGUUAUGAGGAUCAGGCCAAUGAUUCCCCCAGUACAUCGCUGUAUAUUCUAGUCGCAGCUCCUUCUAGUUGUGGCAUGUGGGACGCCACCUUAGCAUGGCUUGAUGAGCGGUGCCAUGCCCACGCCCAGGAUCCGAACCGGUGAAACCCUGGGCUGUCGAAGUGGAGCGCGUGAACUUAACCACUCAGCCGCGGGGCCGGCCCGGGAGUCAUUCUCAAUAAUAGCGAAUUAAUAAAUUUGUUCUUACUAAA
rnacentral:lncRNA from 1 species